UGUACCAGGCAACAGGCGCACAUUCUGCACGAAACUGACAUGGGCUCUGCCCUCGCCGCAGAGCCUGCCAUCUCGUUAGAACGGCGACAGCGAGGGGCAGUAACAGUUUAUGGGAGACUAGAAAGUGGUUUUAGAAGAUCUCCUAUCCCGUCCUUCCUUUGAUCCUCCGAAACGCAGUACAAGGAAAGGAGCCCAGGAGCCCUGUCUUCCCACCUGCCUGCCAGGGACCCUGCCCACUGACCAGCACCCAGGCCCUCACUCUUGAGACCUGGGACAGUCCUCACAACAGAGUCUACAGAAUGGAUAACUAGGUUAGUUGGACCUCAUCACAGCCUAACAAGACACAUC
rnacentral:lncRNA from 1 species